rnacentral:rRNA from 1 species
AACGAACGCUGGCGGCAUGCCUAACACAUGCAAGUCGAACGAGACCUUCGGGUCUAGUGGCGCACGGGUGCGUAACGCGUGGGAACCUGCCCUUAGGUUCGGAAUAACUCCCCGAAAGGGGUGCUAAUACCGGAUAAUGUCUUCGGACCAAAGAUUGAUCGCCUUUGGAUGGGCCCGCGUUGGAUUAGCUAGUUGGUAGGGUAAAAGCCUACCAAGGCGACGAUCCAUAGCUGGUCUGAGAGGAUGAUCAGCCACACUGGGACUGAGACACGGCCCAGACUCCUACGGGAGGCAGCAGUGGGGAAUAUUGGAAAAUGGGCGAAAGCCUGAUCCAGCAAUGCCGCGUGAGUGAUGAAGGCCUUAGGGUUGUAAAGCUAUUUUACCCGGGAUGAUAAUGACAGUACCGGGAGAAUAAGCUCCGGCUAACUCCGUG